rnacentral:rRNA from 1 species
UACAGAGGUCCCAAGCGUUGUUCGGAUUCAUUGGGCGUAAAGGGUGCGUAGGCGGCGCGGUAAGUCGGGUGUGAAAUCUCGGGGCUUAACUCCGAAACUGCAUUCGAUACUGCCGUGCUUGAGGACUGGAGAGGAGACGUGGAAUUUACGGUGUAGCUGGUGAAAUGCGUAGAUAUCGUGAAGGAAGACCAGUGGCGAAGGCGGGUCUCUGGAC